rnacentral:rRNA from 1 species
GAGUUUGAUCAUGGCUCAGAACGAACGCUGGCGGCAGGCUUAACACAUGCAAGUCGAACGCUCGUGGCAACACGGGAGUGGCGGACGGGUGAGUAACGCGUGGGAACGUACCCUUAGGUUCGGAAUAACUGCGGGAAACUGCAGCUAAUACCGGAUGUGCCCGGCAACGGGGAAAGAUUUAUCGCCUUGGGAGCGGCCCGCGUCGGAUUAGCUAGUUGGUGGGGUAACGGCCUACCAAGGCUUCGAUCCGUAGCUGGUCUGAGAGGACGAUCAGCCACACUGGGACUGAGACACGGCCCAGACUCCUACGGGAGGCAGCAGUGGGGAAUCUUGCGCAAUGGGGGGCAACCCUGACGCAGCCAUGCCGCGUGAACGAUGAAGGCCUUAGGGUUGUAAAGUUCUUUUGCCCGUGACGAUGAUGACGGUAACGGGAGAAUAAGCUCCGGCUAACUUCGUGCCAGCCGCCGCCGUAAG